UGAAGAGCCACCCGUUAUGAGGAGCCAUU
rnacentral:piRNA from 1 species